rnacentral:rRNA from 1 species
UACAGAGGUCCCAAGCGUUGUCCGGAAUCAUUGGGCGUAAAGAGCGUGUAGGCGGUCCGGUCAGUCGGUUGUGAAAGUCAAGGGCUCAACCCUUGAAUGCCGGCCGAUACUGCCGGGCUAGAGUCCGGAAGAGGUGAGUGGAAUUCCUGGUGUAGCGGUGAAAUGCGCAGAUAUCAGGAGGAACACCGGUGGCGAAGGCGGGUCUCUGGGCCGUAACUGACGCUGAGGAGCGAAAGCAUGGGGAGCGAACAGG